UUAAGCUGUAAAGAGCGCAGGGAGGAUGCCUUGGCACUAAGAGCCGAUGAAAGACGUGAUAAGCUGCGAAAAGCUGCGGUGAGGAGCAAAUAUCCAUUGACCCGCAGAUGUCUGAAUGGGGAAACCCGGCUGAGCAAACCUCAGUCACCGUAUACUGAAUCCAUAGGUAUACGGAGGGAACCCGGUGAACUGAAACAUCUAAGUAGCCGGAGGAAGAGAAAGAAAAUUUGUCGAUUUCCUAAGUAGCGGCGAGCGAACGGGAAAGAGCCCAAACCGGAGUGCGUGCAUUCCGGGGUUCGGACUGCAGAAUCCACAACCAAGCCUAACAGAACGGUCCUGGGAAGACCGGCCAGAGAGGGUGAAAGCCCCGUACGUGAAAGGCAAGGGAGGGAGGCAGGAUCCAGAGUACCACGAGACACGAGAAAUCUUGUGGGAAUGAGCGGGGACCACCCCGUAAGGCUAAAUACUCCUUAGUGACCGAUAGCGCAUAGUACUGUGAAGGAAAGGUGAAAAGGACCCCGGGAGGGGAGUGAAAGAGAACCUGAAACCCUGUGUUUACAAGCUGUGGAAGUAUCAUAAGGGUACAACCGCGUACUUUUUGUAGAACGGUCCGGCGAGUUACGUCGGCUGGCGAGGUUAAGCACUACAGGUGUGGAGCCGAAGGGAAACCAAGUCUUAAUAGGGCGUCCAGUCAGCCGGAGUAGACCCGAAACCGGGUGAUCUAUCCAUGUCCAGGAUGAAGUUGCCGUAAAAGGCAAUGGAGGUCCGAACGCACAUCUGUUGAAAAAGGUGGCGAUGAGGUGUGGAUAGGGGAGAAAUUCCAAUCGAACCCGGAGAUAGCUGGUUCUCCUCGAAAUAGCUUUAGGGCUAGCCCUGUGACAGUCAGACGGAGGUAGAGCACUGAAUUUCCUAGGGGGCGUCAAAGUCUACCGAAGAAUAUCAAACUCCGAAUGCCGUAAUGAUGAUUCACAGGAGUCAGACUGCACGAGAUAAGUUGGGUAGUCAAAAGGGAAAGAGCCCAGACCUACAGCUAAGGUCCCAAAGUGCGUGUUAAGUGGAAAAGGAUGUGGGAUUUCGAAGACAACUAGGAUGUUGGCUCAGAAGCAGCCAUCCAUUCAAAGAGUGCGUAAUAGCUCACUAGUCGAGAGGUCCUGCGCCGAAAAUGUCCGGGGCUAAAACACGACACCGAAGCUUAGGAAUAUACAUUGUAUAUUGGUAGAGGAGCAAUCUUAACGGGAAGAAGCAGUACUGUAAGGUGCUGUGGACUGUUAAGAAGAGAGAAUGCCGGAAUGAGUAGCGAGAUGGAGGUGGGAAUCCUCCAGGCCGAAUAUCCAAGGUUUCCAGGGUAAAGCUGAUCUGCCCUGGGGAAGUCGGGGCCUAAGGCGAGGUCGAAAGACGUAGCUGAUGGACAACAGGUUGAUAUUCCUGUACUAUCAUAUGACAGAACUGUGGGGACGCAGAAAGAGAGCCUGAGCCGGGAAAGGGAAAACCGGUGCAAGCGGGGUAGGAGUCGUGUAGGCAAAUCCGCACGGCAAUCCGAAGACGUGAUGCGGAGCGAACUAAAGUAGCGAAGCAGGUGAGCUGGCUGCCAAGAAAAGCCGCUAUUGUUCAUAUGAUACCCGUACCGUAAACCGACACAGGUGGAUGAGGAGAGAAUCCUAAGGCCGGCGGGAGAAGCAUUGUUAAGGAACUCGGCAAAAUGACCCCGUAACUUCGGGAGAAGGGGUGCCUGCGAGAGCAGGCCGCAGAGAAUAGGCUCAAGCAACUGUUUAGCAAAAACACAGGUCUAUGCGAAACCGAAAGGUGAGGUAUAUGGGCUGACGCCUGCCCGGUGCUGGAAGGUUAAGAGGAGAUGUCAGGAAACGAAGCAUUGAAUUUAAGCCCCAGUAAACGGCGGCCGUAACUAUAACGGUCCUAAGGUAGCGAAAUUCCUUGUCGGGUAAGUUCC
rnacentral:rRNA from 1 species